UACAGAGGUCCCAAGCGUUGUUCGGAUUCCCUGGGCGUAAAGGGUGCGUAGGCGGUCGGGUAAGUCUGAUGUGAAAUCUCACAGCUUAACUGUGAAACUGCAUUGGAUACUAUCCGGCUCGAGGAAUGGAGGGGAGACUGGAAUACUUGGUGUAGCAGUGAAAUGCGUAGAUAUCAAGUGGAACACCAGUGGCGAAGGCGAGUCUCUGGACAUUUCCUGACGCUGAGGCACGAAAGCCAGGGGAGCAAACGGG
rnacentral:rRNA from 1 species